AGAGUUAAAAAGUACGUGAAAUUGUUGAAAGGGAAACGAUUGAAGUCAGUCGUACCGACGAGAAAUCAGCUCACUGAACGUGCAUUUGCGGGCGUAUGAGAGCUUCGGCCUCAUUGUUUGCAAUGUGUAUUUUUUGGGUGUACUUUUCCGUAUGUAGGUCAACAUCGAUUUCGGUCGUCAUAAAAUGACCGGAGGAAUGUGGCUUCGAUCUCGGUUGAAGUGUUAUAGCCUUUGGUAGAUGUGGUGAUUGAGACCGAGGAUUGCAACGAAUACCUUUUAGGCUAUCCGUCUGACCUCUGAAGGUUGCUUAGGUACCGAAAGCUUGCUUACGGCUAUUUAAGUUGACAGUCAAAAGGUUAGAACGCGAUUACAUUCGUUAAGGAUGUUGACGUAAUGGCUUUAAACGACC
rnacentral:rRNA from 1 species